GGGGAGGACCCGCUGCUGGCUGCGCGCACUGGUCUGCGGCCGCGAAGACGCUUUGGAAAAUAUGGGCGUGACUAGCAAGUUCUUUAGUUUCUCUAAAGCCCAGGAGCCGGCAGGCGGGUCAGCUUAGCACCGCGGAGCCUUCCUGAAACAGCCAAAAAUAAAACCCCAACAAACUCAACGCCCCCCGCCCCGCCCCCUCGGCGUUGGCCCGCGGGCCGCUCGGGGCGGGGGCGCGGCUCCGGGCGCUCGGCUCCAGGCAGACUUCCGGGACACAGGCGGCUUUUCUUCUCCAAAAUCCACAGACUCCCUUGGUGCGCUUUGUUUUACAGUGGAAAGCUACAAUAAAAAAACCUAGCCGUGAACAUAAGUGCGAUUAGAAGCUGCCGGCUUCACUUCCUGGAAGCUUUUUGUUGGGUGUUGAAACUGGGAAGCUUUGCGGGUCAUCCUUAAAGUCAUCUUGAUUGCACUGAUCAGAAACUGACUCUCUACAUUUCCUGAAGACAGGUGCUACAGAAUGUCCCGGCUCCCUCUAUUCUGCACUUCUGUAUAUGCAGCAAGACAUCGGGGCGGGGGGGACAUGGUCUUUCGAGUUAAACAAACCUGCUUUGGAUUCCUGCUGGUUACUUGCUGUGCAAUGUUAGGAGACUUAUCUACUGUCCUUGAGCUUGUUUCCUUAAAAACAGAUAUAAUAAAACUACCUCCUGGGUCACUGAAUCACA